GGUUUCAUGGUAUAGUGGUUUACAGAUUCACUUAGCAAGCGAAAGGUCGCUGGUUCAAUUCCAGCUGGAACCA